rnacentral:lncRNA from 1 species
CUAUCGAAAGGAAGGUUCAACUCUGUGAGUUGAAAGCACACAUCACAAAGAAGUUUCUGAGAAUUCUUCUGUCUAGUUGUAAAUGAAGAAAUCACGUUUCACACGAAGGCCACAAAGAGGUCCAAAUAUCCACUUGCAGAUUCUACAAAAAGAGUGUUUCAAAACUGCUCUAUCAAGAGGAAUGUUCAACUCUGUGAGUUGAAUGCAAAUAUCACAGAGUGGUUUCUGACAAUGCUUCUGUCUAGUUUUUAUGUGACGAUAUUUCAUUUUCUACAGUAGACCUCAAAGUGCUCUAAAUAUACACUUUCCCCAAAAUAGUGUUUCAAAAGGUCUGUAUCAAAAG